ACAAAGGCCCUUUUAAGGGCCACCACCCCCCUGAGAGCCAAGUCCU
rfam:Larimichthys crocea isolate SSNF unplaced genomic scaffold scaffold188, whole genome shotgun sequence.